AUUGAACGCUGGCGGCAGGCCUAACACAUGCAAGUCGAACGAGUGGCGGACGGGUGAGUAAUGUAUGGGAAACUGCCUGAUGGAGGGGGAUAACUACUGGAAACGGUAGCUAAUACCGCAUACCAUCGGAUGUGCCCAGAUGGGAUUAGCUAGUAGGUGGGGUAACGGCUCACCUAGGCGACGAUCCCUAGCGUGUCUGAGCGGAUGACCAGCCACACUGGAACGUAGCCACGGGCCAGAUUCCUACGUGAGGCAGCAGUGGGGAAUAUUGCACCAUUGGCGCAAGCCUGAUUCAGCCAUGCCGCGUGUAUGAAGAAGGCCUUCGGGUUGUAAAGUACUUUCAGCGGGGAGGCGUUACCCGCAGAAGAAGCACCGGCUAACUCCGUGCCAGCCGCCGCGGUAAUUC
rnacentral:rRNA from 1 species